rnacentral:rRNA from 1 species
AGUGAACGCUGGCGGUAGGCCUAACACAUGCAAGUCGAACGGCAGCACAGUAAGAGCUUGCUCUUACGGGUGUCGAGUGGCGGACGGGUGAGGAAUACAUCGGAAUCUACUUUUUCGUGGGGGAUAACGUAGGGAAACUUACGCUAAUACCGCAUACGACCUACGGGUGAAAGCAGGGGAUCUUCGGACCUUGCGCGAUUGAAUGAGCCGAUGUCGGAUUAGCUAGUUGGCGGGGUAAAGGCCCACCAAGGCGACGAUCCGUAGCUGGUCUGAGAGGAUGAUCAGCCAGACUGGAACUGAGACACGGUCCAGACUCAGACGGGAGGCAGCAGUGGGGAAUAUUGGACAAUGGGCGCAAGCCUGAUCCAGCCAUACCGCGUGGGUGAAGAAGGCCUUCGGGUUGUAAAGCCCUUUUGUUGGGAAAGAAAAGCAGCAGGUUAAUACCCCGCUGUUCUGACGGUACCCAAAGAAUAAGCACCGGCUAACUUCGUG